CCUACGGGAGGCAGCAGUGGGGAAUCUUGCGCAAUGGGCGGAAGCCUGACGCAGCGACGCCGCGUGCGGGACGAAGGCCUUCGGGUCGGAAACCGCUUUCAGCAGGGACGAGGCCCUCACGGUGACGGUACCUGCAGAAGAAGCCUCGGCUAACUACGUGCCAGCAGCCGCGGUAAUACGGAGGGGGCGAGUGUUGUCCGGAUUCAUUGGGCGUAAAGCGCGCGUAGGGGGCCUGUUAGGUCGGGGGGAAAAUCCCGGGGCCAAACCCCGGUCCGCCCCCGAUACCGGCAGGCUUGAGUCUGGUAGGGGAAGGCGGAAUUCCCGGUGUAGCGGUGGAAUGCGCAGAUAUUGGGAAGAACACCGAGGGCGAAGGCGGCCUUCUGGGCCACGACUGACGCUGAGGCGCGAAAGCUAGGGGAGCGAACAGGAUUAGAUACCCGUGUAGUC
rnacentral:rRNA from 1 species